rnacentral:rRNA from 2 species
UUCUUUAAUUGGGGACUGGAAUGAAAGGUAGAAACUGAAGGGAUUGUUUUAUAAUUUUAGUUUGAAUUUAAUUUAAAAGUAAAAAAGCUUUUAUGAAAUCCUGGGACGAGAAGACCCUAGAAGCUUAUGUAUAUAUAUAUAUUUAGUUGGGGCAAUUAAGUGAAGAUAAUAAUUUUUAUUCAAAAUAAAUAAGGUUAAUAAAAGUUACUCUAGGGAUAACAGCGUAAUUUAAUUAACGAGUUCUUAUUAAUAAUUAAGUUUGCGACCUCGAUGUUGAAUUAAAUUUAAUUUUUGGUGUAGGAGCUAAGAUUUUUAGUCUGUUCGACUAUUAAAUUUUUACGUGAUCUGAGU